rnacentral:lncRNA from 7 species
AAAAACCCAAAAAAAAAAAAGUCCCCCACCCGAACAUCUUGCCUUUCUCUCUGGAAAAUCUCACAUUUACCCCCAAAAUCCUGCAUUAUCUCUUCAAAAAUACCCAUUAUCCCCCAAAUUCACACAUUUUCUUGUGGAAAAUCCCCCAUUUAACGUGAAAAUCACACUUCUGCUCUCAAAAAUCCCCCGUUUGACCCCAAAAUCAAACUUUUUUGCUACAAGAGUCCCCCAUGUUUCAAAAAAUCACGCAUUUCCUCUACAAAAAUCUCAAAGUAAACGAAAAUCAUGCAGUUGCUCUUCGAAAAUCCCCCAUUUGACCAGAAGAAAAUGCAAUUUCUCUUCCAAAGUCCCCCAUUUAACCCGAAAAUGAGGCAUUUUCUCUUCGAGAAUCUACCCCAUUUAAACAAAAUCACACAUUUUCUCUUCAAAAACUGUUUCCCAAUAAUACCUUUUCUUCACAAUCCUCCCCAUUGUUAUCCAUCCAAAAAAUCAAAAUCUGCCUUUUCUCUUGGAAAAUCCCACAUUUACCCCAAAUCAUGCAUAUCUCUUCAAAAAUACCCCAUAUCCCCCAAAUUCACACAUUUUCUUGUGGAAAAUCCCCCAUUUAACGUGAAAAUCACACUUCUGCUCUUCAAAAAUCCCCGUUUACCCCAAAUCAAACUUUUUGCUACAAGAGUCCCCCAUGUUUCCAAAAAAUCACGCAUUUCCUCUACAAAAAUCUCACAUGUAAACGAAAAUCAUGCAGUUGCUCUUGAAAUCCCCAUUUGACCAGAAGAAAAUGCAAUUUCU